UACGUAGGGCGCAAGCGUUAUCCGGAAUUAUUGGGCGUAAAGAGCUCGUAGGCGGUUUGUCGCGUCUGCCGUGAAAGUCCGGGGCUCAACUCCGGAUCUGCGGUGGGUACGGGCAGACUAGAGUGAUGUAGGGGAGACUGGAAUUCCUGGUGUAGCGGUGAAAUGCGCAGAUAUCAGGAGGAACACCGAUGGCGAAGGCAGGUCUCUGGGCAUUAACCGACGCUGAGGCGCGAAAGCCAGGGGAGCAAACGGG
rnacentral:rRNA from 1 species